rnacentral:misc_RNA from 1 species
AAACCACAAAAGUUGGUAAUACUCAAAAACGGUAGCCUAACUUCUUCGGAAGAGGGAACCGUUUAAGGUAGGAUCGAUGAUUGGGGUUAAGUCGUAACAAGGUAUCCCUACCGGAAGGUGGGGAUGGAUCCCCUCCUUUCUAAGGAAUAAUUUUUUAAAUAUUCAUCUUCAGUUUUGAAAGACUUAGUUUUUAUAAGUUUUUCUUUUUUAAGGAAAAGAAAAUGGGCCUAUAGCUCAGUUGGUUAGAGCACACGCCUGAUAAGCGUGAGGUCGAUGGUUCAAGUCCAUAAAGGCCCACCAACUGAAAAAAAGGUCUUUUUUCUAAUUUUUAAGAAAAAAAGUUCUUGAAAAGUAGAUAAACAAAGUAUUUUUUUAAAAAAUCCAAGGGGAAUUCCAAGGAGG